GGCGCUGUGGCUCAAGUGGUAGAGUGCUAGCCUUGAGCUGAAGGCCCUGGGUUCGAUUCCUCAGCACCA
rfam:Dipodomys ordii contig_12388, whole genome shotgun sequence.